ACAGCCGUUGCACACGAGUAAGUAGUCGAUCCUAAGCCCUAAGAGAAAUCUUAUGUUGAUGUGAAGUACAUUUUUUUUUAUAAUUAUAAUAAAAUAAUUCUACUUCCAUUUGGGCGAAAGGGAAUCUGGUUCCAAUUCCAGAACUUAGCGCGGAACCGUUUCAUUUGUCGGGCCCACUCAUUUAUGAGUAAGCUCGUCGGGGUAACCCAAAAAGACCCGGAGACGCUGUCGGGAGAUGUAGGCAGAGUUUUCUGUUCUGUAUGAGCGUUCGAGUUCCCUGGAAUUCUCUAGCAGUGAGAUAGGGUUUGG
rnacentral:rRNA from 1 species